rnacentral:rRNA from 1 species
GACGAACGCUGGCGGCGUGCCUAAUACAUGCAAGUAGGACGCAGGUGCGAACGGGUGAGUAACGCGUAGGUAACUACCUGUGAGAAGUGGAUAACUAGUGGGCACGAUAGCUAAUACCGCAUACUAGUAGAUGGACCUGCGUUUUAUUGGCUAGUAGAUAGGUUAAUGGCUGACCUAGGCAACGAUACAUAGCCGACCUGCGAGGGGGAUCGGCCAAACGGGGACGGAGACACGGCCCAGACUCCUACUGGAGGCAGCAGUAGGGAAUCUUCGGCAAUGGAGGGAAGCCUGACCGAGCAACGCCGCGUUAGUGAAGAAGGUUUUCGGAUCGUAAAGCUCUGUUGUUAGGGAAGCGGUACUUAACCAGAAAGGGACGGCUAACUACGUGCCAGCAGCCGCGGUAAUAC